UACUCCAUAGCUGAGUGGAUAAAGUGUCGGACUUUUGUUCCGUACAUCCCGAGUUUGAAUCCCGCUGGGGCUU
rfam:Crassostrea gigas strain 05x7-T-G4-1.051#20 contig11491, whole genome shotgun sequence.